rnacentral:rRNA from 1 species
AUUGAACGCUGGCGGCAGGCCUAACACAUGCAAGUCGAGCGGAUGAAGGGAGCUUGCUCCUGGAUUCAGCGGCGGACGGGUGAGUAAUGCCUAGGAAUCUGCCUGGUAGUGGGGGAUAACGUCCGGAAACGGGCGCUAAUACCGCAUACGUCCUGAGGGAGAAAGUGGGGGAUCUUCGGACCUCACGCUAUCAGAUGAGCCUAGGUCGGAUUAGCUAGUUGGUGAGGUAAAGGCCUACCAAGGCGACGAUCCGUAACUGGUCUGAGAGGAUGAUCAGCCACACUGGAACUGAGACACGGUCCAGACUCCUACGGGAGGCAGCAGUGGGGAAUAUUGGACAAUGGGCGAAAGCCUGAUCCAGCCAUGCCGCGUGUGUGGAGAAGGUCUUCGGAUUGUAAAGCACUUUAAGUUGGGAGGAAGGGCAGUAAGUUAAUACCUUGCUGUUUUGACGUUACCAACAGAAUAAGCACCGGCUAACUUCGUG